rnacentral:rRNA from 1 species
UACGGAGGGGGCUAGCGUUGUUCGGAAUUACUGGGCGUAAAGCGCACGUAGGCGGAUAUUUAAGUCAGGGGUGAAAUCCCGGGGCUCAACCCCGGAACUGCCUUUGAUACUGGGUAUCUGGAGGUCGAGAGAGGCGAGUGGAAUUCCGAGUGUAGAGGUGAAAUUCGUAGAUAUUCGGAGGAACACCAGUGGCGAAGGCGGCUCGCUGGCUCGAUACUGACGCUGAGGUGCGAAAGCUAGGGGAGCAAACGGG